rnacentral:rRNA from 1 species
AACGAACGCUGGCGGCAGGCUUAACACAUGCAAGUCGAACGCGUGCAGCAAUGCACGAGUGGCGCACGGGUGAGUAACGAGUGGAUAUCUGCCUUUUGGUUCGGAAUAACCCCGGGAAACUGGGGCUAAUACCGGAUGGUUCCUACGGGAUAAAGAUUUAUCGCCAAAAGAUGAGUCCGCGUCCGAUUAGCUAGUUGGUGAGGUAAUGGCUCACCAAGGCGACGAUCGGUAGCUGGUCUGAGAGGACGAUCAGCCACACUGGGAGUGAGACACGGCCCAGACUCCUACGGGAGGCAGCAGUGGGGAAUAUUGGACAAUGGGGGCAACCCUGAUCCAGCCAUGCCGCGUGAGUGAUGAAGGCCUUCGGGUUGUAAAGCUCUUUUGGCGGGGACGAUGAUGACGGUACCCGCAGAAUAAGCCCCGGCUAACUUCGUG